AUUGAACGCUGGCGGCAGGCCUAACACAUGCAAGUCGAGCGGAGCGGCGGACGGGUGAGUAAUGCCUAGGAAUCUGCCUGGCAGUGGGGGAUAACGUCCGGAAACGGGCGCUAAUACCGCAUACUACCAGAUGAGCCUAGGUCGGAUGAGCUAGUUGGUAAGGUAAAGGCCUACCAAGGCGACGAUCCGUAACUGGUCUGAGAGGAUGAUCAGUCACACUGGAACUGAGACACGGUCCAGACGCCUACGGGAGGCAGCAGUGGGGAAUAUUGGACAAUGGGCGAAAGCCUGAUGCAGCCAUGCCGCGUGUGUGAAGAAGGUCUUCGGAUUGUAAAGCGCUUUAAGUUGGGAAGCGUUACCAAAAGAGUAAGCAACGGCUAACUUCGUGCCAGCAGCCGCGGUAAUAC
rnacentral:rRNA from 1 species